UACGUAGUGUGAAUUGCAGAAUUCCGCGAAUCAUCGAGUCUUUGAACGCAAGUUGCGCCCGAGGCUUGUCCAAGGGCAUUUCCGCUAGAGCGUC
rnacentral:rRNA from 1 species